AAGAAUUGAAUGAAACUCAUCUGAGGCAACUAGUGAAAGUCUGUUGUAGGUUGUUCUUGAUGACAUACACAGUCGAGAUGAGAUGACAUUUGAAGAAAUGUUACAACCAGGUGUUCGUUGUAUGCUAAAUUUUUUUAGACCAAGAUAUACAACCAAAAAUAGAUUGAUAACACACCAAGACGACUUUGGAGGACCAAAUGUUCCAUUUGAGACGCUGCAGGAUUUAGAAAGAUAAUGAUGAUGUUCGAAUGCUUGCUUAUACAAUAUAGUACGUCGACUUGUAUGCCAGAAGAUAAGGUAUGUCUUCAUUUUCCCA